rnacentral:rRNA from 1 species
AUUGAACGCUGGCGGCAGGCCUAACACAUGCAAGUCGAGCGGAAGCAGGGCGCUUGCUCCUGGAUACAGGGGAGGGGGGGUGUAUUAUGCCUGGAAAUCUCCGAGGUUGGGGGGGAAAGCGGCGGAAGAUGGGCGCAAAUACCGCACGCGCCCUGAGGGAGAACGUGGGGGAGCAUCGGACCUCCCGCUCUCAGAUGAGCCUAUGACGGAUUAGCUAGUUGGUGGGGUAAAGGCUUACCAAGGCGACGAUCUGUAGCUGGUCUGAGAGGAUGAUCAGCCACACUGGGACUGAGACACGGCCCAGACUCCUACGGGAGGCAGCAGUGGGGAAUUUUGGACAAUGGGCGCAAGCCUGAUCCAGCCAUGCCGCGUGCAGGAUGAAGGCCUUCGGGUUGUAAACUGCUUUUGUACGGAACGAAAAGCAUUCUUUUAAUACAGGAGGGUCAUGACGGUACCGUAAGAAUAAGCACCGGCUAACUACGUG